UACGAAGGGGGCUAGCGUUGCUCGGAAUCACUGGGCGUAAAGCGCACGUAGGCGGCUUUCUAAGUCAGGGGUGAAAUCCUGGAGCUCAACUCCAGAACUGCCUUUGAUACUGAGGAUCUUGAGUUCGGGAGAGGUGAGUGGAACUCGAGAGUGAGUGGAAAUUCGUAGAUAUUCGGAAGAACACCAGUGGCGAAGGCGACUCACUGGCCCGAUACUGACG
rnacentral:rRNA from 1 species